rnacentral:rRNA from 1 species
CACGUAGUUAGCCGUGGCUUAUUCCUGAGGUACCGUCACUUUCUUCGUCCCUCAGAAAAGAAGUUUACAACCCGAAAGCCUUCUUCCUUCACGCGGCGUUGCUGGGUCAGGCUUGCGCCCAUUGCCCAAUAUUCCCCACUGCUGCCUCCCGUAGGAGUCUGGGCCGUGUCUCAGUCCCAAUGUGGCCGGCCAACCUCUCAGUCCGGCUACUGAUCGUCGCCUUGGUGGGCCUUUACCCCGCCAACAAGCUAAUCAGACGCGAGCUCAUCUCAGAGCGAUAAAUCUUUGGCGUCCAGAGAGAUGCCUCCCAGACGCAUCAUGCGGUAUUAGCGGCUGUUUCCAACCGUUAUUCCCCACUCCAAGGCAGAUUGCUCACGCGUUACUCACCCGUCCGCCACUUUCCUCCAGAUCCGUUGUCCGAAAACUCCUUCACUGGAUUCUCGUUCGACUUGCAUGUGUUAAGCACGCCGCCAGCGUUCAUCCUGAGCCAGGAUCAAACU